GUACUUACCUUGACGGGGUCUACGGGCAUACAAGAAGAUCCGUGGCCUAGGCUAGUGACUUCCAUUGCACUUUGGCUCUAGUUCGAUUUCUUUAGCUCUCUGUUUAUUCUGAUUUGACUGUUAUAACAUCUGAGACCAAUAAGCUGUAUGGAUUGGUUAUUC